CCUACGGGAGGCAGCAGUGAGGAAUAUUGGUCAAUGGACGAGAGUCUGAACCAGCCAAGUAGCGUGAAGGAUGACUGCCCUAUGGGUUGUAAACUUCUUUUAUAAAGGAAUAAAACGAGGCACGUGUGCCUUUUUUCAUGUUCUUUAUUAAUAAGGAUCGGCUAACUCCGUUCCAGCAGCCGGGGUAAUACGGAGGAUCCGAGCGUUAUCCGGAUUUAUUGGGUUUAAAGGGAGCGUAGAUGGGUUGUUAAGUCAGUUGUGAAAGUUUGCGGCUCAACCGUAAAAUUGCAAUUGAUACUGGCAGUCUUGAGUACAGUUGAGGUAGGCGGAAUUCGUGGUGUAGCGGUGAAAUGCUUAGAUAUCACGAAGAACCCCGAUUGCGAAGGCAGCUUACUAAACUGUGACUGACAUUGAUGCUCGAAAGUGUGGGUAUCAAACAGGAUUAGAUACCCUUGUAGUC
rnacentral:rRNA from 1 species